rnacentral:rRNA from 1 species
AGCUCCAAUAGCGUAUAUUAAAGUUGUUGCAGUUAAAACGCUCGUAGUUGAAUCUCAACUAGACAGGUUUCUAUUGCAGCUUACUUUUCGUAAGUUGUUAUAAUAGAACUAGUUUAGUUUUUGCAUGUUUGUUUCGACAGAUAUGCCUUUUACUUUGAGUAAAUUAGAGUGUUUCAAGCAAGCUUUUGCGUUGAAUACUGUAGCAUGGAAUAAUAAGAUAAGACUUUGGUUUUAUGUUGUUGGUUUAAAAACUAAAGUAAUAAUUAAUAGGGACAGUUGGGGGUAUUUGUACUUACCUGUCAGAGGUGAAAUUCUAUGAUUAGGUGAGGACAGACAACUGCGAAAGCAUUUACCAAAGAUGUUUUCA